GGAAAGUGUGGACAUUUUAAUAAGUUUAACUGUUAAGCUAAGGGGAGGAGAUGUGGGGGAGGUAACGACUAUGUGAUUGGAUACUGUAAUAAUUAUGGAAGUUGCAUGGGAAAAACACAUAAAAGCAGAGCUUGUGCAUUAAAAGCCAGUUGACUCCCAGACUAUGUGUCGUCUAGUCCUUGGGGAGGGGGAUUAUGCCGUGUUUUAUACUUCUGUAUGCUGAAUCUUUGUUUCCAGUG